UUGAAAGGGGCUUCAGAAUUUGAUUCAACCAACUAUAGACUGUUUUGGACACCCAUUUUUUUAGGCCUUUUAGCUUUAUUUCGCGUCAGGCCCAAUUGCAAAGCCCGCUACAGUCGUGAGACCAAACUGAUAGACUCUUGUCUUCACAUCAGAAAGCUGGGAUCUUUCGUAGUUGCCUCGAGCUGGUAUACUGGAGAAGGAAGCUAGCACUUGUAGUUCGAUUCAGAGAGGGAAACCUGAAGCCCGGCUCUGUGUAAAUAGCGGGAUUCAUACCUGUGAUGCUGUACUCUUUAUCGAAGCCUCGAACUGGCUGGCCUUAGUUGUUCCGGUCUCCACCAAGCUUUUCACCGCCAAGACAUCAUUUUGUUUGAUAUAUUUUCUCGGUGGCUUUAGGGCGGCUUGUUUGGAAAUGUUUGCAAGGCCAACUUUUAUCGUGGUGAAUGGGAAGGCAGAAGGCUGGAAAGCUCUUCGGUGGUGACUGAUAUUGCCGAUUUUGUAAGAGAGUGAAUGUGGCGUCUUGUGCAGAUUUUUAGCAUUGGAACUCGACCGUUCAUGAACGACCAUAUGUUCCAACACUGAAAAUCACAGUAGCCAAGUGCGUUAAGACUCCGGCCGUUCAUGAACGACCAUAUAUGUCUUAACGCAGGAGCAGCCACAGUGAAGGUUGGCCGUUCAUGAACGACCAUGUACUUCUUGGUAGGUUGAGAGAACUUCAACAAACGAAGGAAGGUUGUUUUGUUGACAGCAAGCUUUCUGGACGGUAUAUUUCCCUGUCAAAGAAGACGAGAAUAGCAUAGAUGCGUUGUAUACCUGAGCUUCACCUUUGGAGCUUGACUUGUUGACGGAUCUGCUUUGAUUUCACUUUCUGUUUUGGCAGAGCUUUACCUUUUUGCUUGCUGAAUAUUUCUCUCUCCCUCUUGCUCCGUCCCUUUCUUUUCACGUUGCCACCUUUAUAUAAGGGUGGUUGGAUAAGUGUAGCCGGAUA